CUGGAAAUAUAGCACUCAAGUCAAGCGCUCACACUUAUCGGCUGUUGUUGACGACAGACUUGCCCGGAAUCGGGUCUGUAGCUCAGUCGGUUAGAGCACCGUCUUGAUAAGGCGGGGGUCGUUGGUUCGAAUCCAACCAGACCCACCAUCCAGACAUGGGGGUGUAGCUCAGCUGGGAGAGCACCUGCUUUGCAAGCAGGGGGUCAUCGGUUCGAUCCCGUUCACCUCCACCAAUUUUUCUGACUGAUCCAAGCGGCCAGCGCGUGAUGCGUUCUGGCCGGUUCGAUCGUUAGGUCGGCUGUCGUUCUUUAAAAAUUCAUAGAGUCAAAUCAGUGUUGUUGGCGGAAAGUACCGCCGGUGCUUGGGCGAAAGCCGAAGUGCUUGAUGGCACACCGUGCCGCCAGCAACUUAGUGAUUGCGUCAAAACAACUUCAAUACAGAGAUUGAAGUUCGGCAUAACGCGUAAAUACUCAAACCAGUCAUUGACCGACCCGGCCGUCAGCCGGCGUCAAAGUUAUAG
rnacentral:tRNA from 1 species